UGCCGCGUGUGUGAAAAGGCCUUCGGGUUGUAAAGCACUUUUGUCCGGAAAGAAAACCUCGUGGUUAAUACCCGUGGGGGAUGACGGUACCGGAAGAAUAAGCACCGGCUAACUACGUGCCAGCAGCCGCGGUAAUACGUAGGGUGCAAGCGUUAAUCGGAAUUACUGGGCGUAAAGCGUGCGCAGGCGGUUCGCUAAGACAGAUGUGAAAUCCCCGGGCUUAACCUGGGAACUGCAUUUGUGACUGGCGGGCUAGAGUAUGGCAGAGGGGGGUAGAAUUCCACGUGUAGCAGUGAAAUGCGUAGAGAUGUGGAGGAAUACCGAUGGCGAAGGCAGCCCCCUGGGCCAAUACUGACGCUCAUGCACGAAAGCGUGGGGAGCAAAC
rnacentral:rRNA from 1 species